rnacentral:lncRNA from 1 species
UAGGUGCAUCCUACUUCUGGUUGGAGACGCGCCACUGUCAAUUUCAAAGCCGACCUCAUCGGCGCAUUCGUCUGAUUUGUAGCAGACCCAUAUCCGCGCACGAACUUGUACCUCUCGCCACAUCAAUAGCCUCCUGCCAUCUGUCCUCUUUAUAAAAUAUAUGAGCUACUCCUCCAUUUUAUCUAAUAUAGUAUUGAACCAUCCAAAAAAGAGUGAUAGAUGAAACCCCUCCCAAAGAAAACUAUCACAGAAAUGUUGUGUAGUUUCUAAUAAUGAUUGAAGGACUGUACAAAAGAUCUUGUGGUUUGAACUCUACUGACAGGCGAACUGCUGUAUACUAUAAACAUAUCACAUAUGAACGCUAGAUGGAUGGUAGCCUCUGUAGAAGAUUUUCUUCAUUUUUAAAAUAUCUGAAGGCCUUCAAACUUUUCUAUUGACUACUCUAAUAAUAGGUUCUGACUUCUUUUGACUAUAGUAAAAGAAAAGAAAAUUUUUAUUGAGAAGAUGAAGGCUUUGCUAUAUGCUCAUGUUACCUUCAACAUGAAUACCCUGUCAGCUAUUUUCUUAUCAAUGGUCUUUUUAUGCCAUAUCCACCAUAUUAGACGCCAAAUAUCUGCUAGCUCUCCUGGUAUAAUAUGAAGUUGAAAUGCUUGAAAGACAGUUGUAAAAUCUUGUUAGAUUUGAAUAGUAGUGUAUUUUAGUUUAGGUUCUUUGGUGUGUGUGUGUGUGUGUGUUUCUUUUAAGAUAUAUUAUUAUGAUCAAAUUAGUUUUUCAAUUAGUGUAAUUUUUAUAUUUUUGAUAAUUGUUAUCUUUAAUUUAAUAAUUGUUAUUCGUUUGAUCAUUUUUUCCCAUUUUAACGUUUUAGGUAACUUCUAACCAUUAUACUAUUGAAGCGAGAAAGAAGCACUUCAAAUUCAACAAACUGGAAAACUAUAUGGUACAGGAUCAAUUGAAUUUUUUUUAAUGCUUUUAAUCUUAAGCUUCAGUAAUUAUGUUACUCAUGCUGGGAUAUUAAAGUCUAUUUGAUAUUAAUUACUAUGUAGGAAGUAGUAGUCUUCAAGUUCAAUUCAAUAUAAGGGAGGUGUUAUUUUCAUGUCCUUUCUUAUUCCAAUUUUCUUUCCAUGUUCAGGUACUGCCAAACAUGAUUUCUGUUGCUGAUAUCAAAGCAACUUUAUAUGAUGUCUGUGGUGUUGUAAAGACUAUUGGAGAUGGUUACAAGUCCAAGGUAAAGUCCAUACCCCAUUGAUCCCUUUUUGUGAAUGUACUUUGCAUGUCAAAUGAUUUGUUACCAUAUUCUUUUCUGAACUUUAGGUAGCAUUGACUCAUGGACCAGAAAAUGUUAAACCUCAAGUCAAACAAACUGACGAAAGUGGCAAAUUUUGUUUCGAGGUAUGUUUCUCUAAAAUAAUGGCAAUACAUUUUACGUUGUUCCUGUUGGCAAAAGUUGGAAGGAUACAAUUUUUUUCUUUUUUGUUUUUCAAAAAUUAAGAUACUGAAGAUUUGUUGAGCAGAAUGAAGGAAUAUACAAGGGUGUAUUAAAAAUUAACCCCAACAAAAAGGAGACAUAAAAACUACAAGGAGCUGAUCAUAACUAUAAAAAUUCCCUCUUUUCAAAUCUCAUCACCCGACCUUUCCACCUCCAGAUAAAAAUUAUAUAAUUUCUCUUGAGCCAAACUCCCAAUAGAAUAGCAAAGAAACUAGAGUGCCAUGAGAAAUUGGACUUGGAAAGGUGCUUUCGGAUAGUUGAUGGCUACUUUGCAGUAAAUGGAGACCGUUCAUUUGAAAGGAAACAGAGGUCCUUAGAGGGAAUUGUGCUGGAGGUUUAGAUAAAAAUGAAGUAUAGUAUAUUUCGAGAUGCUUUGAGAGAUAGUUGAAGAAAGCUGGGAGAGUCGUGGUGAGAUUUGCUGACCAUAAGGGUACAAUGUCAAUCAAGCCGGAUUUUUAGAUCGCUCGGGCACCACAGAUACAAUUUCUCAGUUUAAUUUAGAUGAAUAAUAUGGAAGGCAACCAAUGCAAUAGUCAAAAUAAAUACUAAGGGUAUAUCAAUGGAAAGAAGGUGAAAGAAAUUUGACUUAAAAAAUGUAUUGUGAGUCUAUUAAUAAUUUAAUCAAGAUUGAACAAAUACUAAUUCUAUAGGUGAAGAUUCUAAACACUCAACUGUCUUUCUCAAGCACUAAUUAAUCCUCUUGAUUAAUUAAGAAAUCAAUAUUCGUUACUAGUUCCAAUAAAAUACAAAAGCUUUAUUAAACAUGUCUUUUUGUGACUGCUAAAAGAAUUCGAAGUCCGCAGAUUUAAAGAUCCUAUCAGUUAUGGAUUUUGGUUUUGACUAGAAACUAUCUCUUUUAAGUGUAAGAUUGAUUGACUAGUAGGUUAAAACUUAAAAGUAUGGAAAUGAAGAUUAGAAACACAUAAAUCAAAUUCAUAUUCACCUAAUCAGGAUAAAUAUAUUAAUCCAUCUAUAAAAAUCCGGUGGUUCCAUUGAUUGUUGUUAAAAUUGUCUGAUACGUGUAGUUCAAAUUGAAAUGAAGGAAAAACGUUACAACUCGUGCGUUUGAAUUGGAAAUAAUAGGUAUGGUAUGAUUCUAGAUUGUGUUGCCUUUGUUCCUUUGAUCGCCCUCCAUUGUUCCUUUGAUCCGUCACAUAUGGAAGACUAAAAUUCCGAAAAAGGUGAAAUUUUUUUUAUGGUUGCUCGCUUACAGAAGCCUUAACACUCAUGAGAAGCUACAAAAAAAGUUUCAGUACCCUAUGCUCAGCCCCUCGAUGUGUUGCCUUUGUUUCAAAGAAGAGGAAACCAUGGACCACUUAUUUUUGCAUUGUUUUUGUACUAGGAAAGCUUGGAACACUUUGUUUAGAAUUUUUGAUUUGGAGCUUUGUCUUCCUAGUAAGGUUGAUGGUUGGUUGAUUAAAGGGCUCAACAUUAGAGGUUAUAGCCCGAGAGGAAACAUCUUAUGGAGAUAUGCUACUCGGUCCCUUUUGUGGUGCAUUUGGAAAGAGAGGAAUAGUAGAAUUUUUUAAGAUAGUUAUAAUUCUUUUGAUUCUUUUUGGACUGUGUUGCAACACACAGCUUCUUGGUGGAGUACGAAUUACACCAAACACUUUUGUAAUUAUAACCUUUCUAUGAUAUUCAACAAUUGAAAGGCUAUCAUUUUUUAGUUUCUUCUGGGGAGGGUCCUCUUGUCCCUUGCCCCUUAGGUUGUUCUCUUUUGUUUUAUGAAUACACAUGUUUCUUAUAAAAAAAAAUGAUUCUAGAUUGUGAAUCAUUCUAAUUGUUCUUGAAUUGAUUCAAUAAUCAUAGAAAUUACUUUUAGGGUAAAAAGCAAGCAUGACUCGGUUGUUCUUUGAUAUCUGCAAUACUCAACAAAAUAUUUAAUAUAACCAAAUUAAAAAAUAUCAAAAUAUCAUUAAAACUACUGAAAAAUAUCAUUAAAGCCAUCCCGCUUUUUCUCUCACACACAUGCCCCAUGGUAAAAGUGUGACUUUUUAAUUAUUAAUCUUGGCCGUUUAACUUUGUUUAUUACUUUUAAAUUCUUUUUUAGAAUUUUUCAUGAAUGUGGAAUAUCAAGUAUGAGUGUUUGGGAGUUAAUAGUUAUAUAAUGUUAAGCUAUUCCCCCCCUUAUUUUAGGCUUUGCUAUUUAUACAUUUUAUUGUUAUUUAUUAAAUUGAAACUUACAAAACAUGAUAUGUUCUGAUACACAAUACACUACAAUUUUAUUUUGAUCUGUACUGCGUUUCACAAUAAUUUAGCUACUCAUAACAGAGGGCGAACAACAAUAUUUGAUAUAUUGUCAGUAUAGGAAUUUGAUGUUGUCAUGUCGAUUGACUGUCCCCAAAUCAAUCUCCAUGAUUCCAAGCCUUGAAAAUUCCAUUUUUUGAUAUCAAAUAGUUUCCUUACUCUCCAAUUUAGUCUCAACCGAAAUUGCCAUCUUGACUCUCCAAAAUUCCUCCCUUGGGGCUCAAACAGACCUUACCCUUUACAAGAAAACUCACAGCAAUGUUGAGAUAAUCUAAGCAGGGUUGAAGCGUUGUAGAUCAUAGUGUGAAGUCCUAAAUAACAUAGUAUGCUAGGAUGAAAUAGGCAUUGGCAUUUAUUUGUUUAUUUAUUUUUAUUUUUAUGAAAAACAAAUUUUAUUGAUAAAUGGAAUAAGAGAAGCUUCCUAUUAAAAAAAAAAAAAUCAAAGAAGCUUAAAAGGCUGCCAUCACUUAAAGGUACUAAUUCAUUGCCAUUGGAAACCAAAGACUAAAGAGGAAAGGCUAUGAUUGUUAAAGGGGUAUUGGCAUUUUAAUUCUUAGUGUCUCACUGCUCUAACAUGGUGUCUCGACCUUUACUUUUGAAUUUUGGUAUUUAGGCAAUUCUGCAAGUUAUUGUUGUUCGUGAAAUCCUCUUACUUUCUUGAGUUGUCUAUCUACUUGUGCCUCAUUGUGUUUUAAAUCUCUCAGGUCCCACCAGGUGAUUAUCGCCUAUCUGCUAUGGCAAUCUCUCCAGAAAGUGCUCCUGGACUACUGUUCUCGCCAUCUUAUGUUGAUGUUACAGUUAAAAGUCCCUUACUGAAUGUUGCUUUUUCACAGGUAAUAUUCUGAAUUUUCGCGGACUUCUUAGCCUUAUGGUACUUACUGUUUGUAGACUAUUCGUGAAUCCGUUAAUAAUUAUAAAAAGGAUAUUCUCAUAUUCCUGCUUUUAUACCAUUUGUUAAUUUCUUCACAUGAUAAAGUUUUUUUUAUCCGCUUCCAUUGAUUUAUUUUAUUUUGUACAAUUGAUUAUCAAGGCACUCGUCAAUAUACUUGGUUCUGUAACAUGCAAAGAGAGAUGUGGUUCAUCAGUAUCUAUUACCUUCCAGAGAUUGGCUGGUAAUCAUAUUAGUGAGAAGAAGACUAUCAGUUUGACAGAUGAGAGUAAUGCGUUUCAAAUUCAAGAUGUAAUGCCUGGAAAAUACAGGAUAGAGGUACAGCUAUUUGACCUUAAUAUUUAUAUUUAAUCUCUUGUUGUAGAUGGAACGGAUUUAUGAAAUUACAAGAGGGGGAAAAAGAGAGGGAAUUAGUACAUUGUUUUCCCCAGCCCUUUAUAUUUUCAAGUUAGCUUCAUCUGAAUUGUUGUGUUGUUGUUCAUGGGGGCUGGAAAUGAUAUAUGUCAGUUGCAUCAUCCCUAUAUUUUCUUGUCAAUAUAAUGUUUUUUUCCCACGAAAAAAAGACAAUUUUUUAUGAUGUGAUUAUGAGCACCGUCCCUCGUAUCAUAUGUUCUGCUUGGGCAUCCUUUCAAGGGAGAAAAGAGGACUCUUUGGGUCAAUUACAUUAGAAUUUUAUUUUAGACCAUUUGUAGUAUAUGAAAGUCAUUUUGUGAAUAGGGGAGGUACUUUAAUUAUUUUCUUAAAUCUCUGGUUUUUCUGAUAUAAAAGUUACCUUUUCCUUAAAGAUUUCACUCUUUUAUCUCACAUCCCGUUGGGAAUUUUCUUUUUGGAAUUCUGAGGUAUAGGCAAUAUGGCUUCUUUUUAUAAUUUCAUCACAUCAUUGAAAUUAUAGUUGUUUCUCUCUCUCCAAAAAAAUAAAAAGACCCAUAUUGAAUAUUGAACAUAGAUAGAUAUACAUGCUGAGUAAAUAUCUUUUAAUAGGUUUCACACUCAUCCAUUCAAGGCGGGGUUGGCAAAGAUGAUUGGUGCUGGGAGCGAAACUCCAUUGAAGUGGAUGUUGGUAUUGAGGAUGUACAUGGAAUUGAAUUCAUUCAAAAAGGUUAUUGGGUUAACGUUAUAUCUACUCAUGAUGUGGAUGUUUAUAUUUCUCAAAUGAAUGGGCCACCUAUGAACUUGAAAAUCAAGGUUAUUUCUACUCCAAGUCCCAAAGUUUUGUUUUCCUCUAUGGUUGUAGUUGUAGCAGCCUAGCGGGCAUGACACUGAAAUUGAUUCCCUUUGUUACGCAGAAAGGUUCUCAGUACAUAUGUGUGGAGUCUCCUGGAGUGCACGAAAUUCAGUUCUCCGACUCUUGUAUCUCCUUCGGGAGCUCAUCCGCUAAAAUUGAUACAUUAAACCUAGAGGUAUUGUAUUGUUCCAAAUUUGUUUUUCAUUAUUAUACUUCUGUGAAUUAUUUAUAUGAGAUUAAUUUUUCGUCUCUUUUUUUUGUCAAAUAUUUGUCAGCCCAUCUAUUUAAGAGGAGAAAAAUAUCUACUGAAGGGGAAAAUUAAUGUUGAUCCAGUCUCACUUGGUGUAUAUGAAUUACCUGAAAAUAUUCUGUUGAACGUUGUGGAUGCUGGAGGCAGUGUGGUUGGUAAUACUGAGGCCAAACUUACGUCUGAUGCCAAUAAUCAACCGAAUUUUGCCUUGUAUGAGUACUCUGUCUGGGCUAGCGCUGGAGAGGAACUCAC